rnacentral:rRNA from 1 species
GACGUUAGCGGCGGACGGGUGAGUAACACGUGGAUAACCUACCUAUAAGACUGGGAUAACUUCGGGAAACCGGAGCUAAUACCGGAUAAGAUUUUGAACCGCAUGGUUCAAUAGUGAAAGACGGCCUUGCUGUCACUUAUAGAUGGAUCCGCGCCGUAUUAGCUAGUUGGUAAGGUAACGGCUUACCAAGGCAACGAUACGUAGCCGACCUGAGAGGGUGAUCGGCCACACUGGAACUGAGACACGGUCCAGACUCCUACGGGAGGCAGCAGUAGGGAAUCUUCCGCAAUGGGCGAAAGCCUGACGGAGCAACGCCGCGUGAGUGAUGAAGGUCUUCGGAUCGUAAAACUCUGUUAUCAGGGAAGAACAAACGUGUAAGUAACUGUGCACGUCUUGACGGUACCUGAUCAGAAAGCCACGGCUAACUACGUGCCAGCAGCCGCGGUAAUACGUAGGUGGCAAGCGUUAUCCGGAAUUAUUGGGCGUAAAGCGCGCGUA